ensembl:lncRNA
UGAGUGAUGCACUAUUAAGGAUAGGAUUGCCAGUUCCACCAGAAUUGCAGGGGCUGAAGGAGAAGUAUUGCAAUAGAAAGAGGGGUCUUGUGAAGAAAAAAAAAUCAUUGAUAGUUUCUGGAAGAAUGAAGAGAAUAUACAGGGUUCAGAGAGGCAAAAAUCAAAGGACAGGCAUCGGGAUUGACCCUCUAGCAUCCAGAGGUCCCAGCUCAGGACUCCAUGUCUACAGAGACAAGGAGCAUGGCUGCCAGGAAAGAAGAAAGCAAAACACAUCACAACACUCCUAGGGCUGAGAGUUUCUGCAAUACAAAAGGCAGGUUGUAGACUUGAUGUGCACUAUAGAGCUGAAUCCUAGGAGUUUACAAAGAGAGGCUGCCCCAAAAGGUGGUAGAAAAGAAAGACAUGAUAAAAAGCAACAAAGAUUCAUGGAAAAGGGAAAGGAGAAUCACAAAAAAAGAUGAAUAGAUAUGGAAAUGAAAAGAGUUGAAAACCAUGGAAAUUUACAGCAAAUGGGUUUGGAACAAUUGUGUUUCUUUUAAGGGAGUAGAGCAUGAAAUCGGAGAAUGCAAUGGCACCCCACUCCAGUACUCUUGCCUGGAAAAUCCCAUGGACUGAGGAGCCUGGUGGGCUGCAGUCCGUGAGGUCACUGAGAGUCAGACAGGACUGAACGACUUCACUUUCACUUUUCACUUUCAUGCAUUGGAGAAGGAAAUGGCAACCCACUCCAGUGUUCUUGCCUGGAGAAUCCCAGGGACGGGGGAGCCUGGUGGGCUGCUGUCUAGGGGGUUGCACAGAGUUGGACACGACUGAAGCGAUUUGGCAGGAGAGCAUGAAAUUAAGACAGGUGAAAUGACUGUUUAGGUGUAAAUUAGAUAACUGGGCCCACAUUUGCUAGGUCUCUUAUCUAUAUCAAUCUAUCUUUUCCUUCUAUCUAACCUAAUGUCUACCUUCUAGGGUUAGGAUUUGUCUCUGAAAGAUAAUGCAUCUAAAAAAAGAAACGGACUCCUAAGUGCUCUGAAAAAACCUUUUAUUUUAAAAACACUUUUUGAAACUUUAAAUUGGAGGAUAAUUGCUUUACAGUAUUGUAUUGGUUUCUGACAUAUAUCAACAUGGAAUUAGCCACAGGGAUACAUGUCUCACUCCCCCUCAUUCCCCGCUCCUGCCACCCCGCCCACUAGGUUGUCACAGAGCACUGGAUUUGAGCUCCCAUUGUCCUACAGCACAGUUUCCCUGGCUCAUUUUACAUAUGAUAACGCAGAUGUUUCAGUGCUACUCCCUUAAUUCACCCCACCCUCUCCUUCCCUGGCCUGUGUCCACAAAUCUGUUCUGUCUGUGUCUCCAUUGUUGCCCUGCACAUAGGGCAACAGUACCAUCUUUCUAGAUUUCAUACAUAUGUGUUAAAAUGCAAUAUUUUGUUCUUCACUAAACAUUGCAAAGGGACAAUUUUAGGAUCUAACAUACUUAAAAGAUUCCUAAACAUCUUCUUUUUAUCCUCAAACUGCCACACUGUCUCAAUGUGUCUCUGCCACUUCCCCCUACCACCUGCCCCCCAAUUUCCAUCCCUUACUGGUCCCCUGGCUCAGGUUUCCCCUUGUUUUCCCAUUUUUCAGAUUUUUUUUUUUCUCUUAAGGGCAGCCCCUUACCUUCAAUUAGCUCAGUCAAGCCAGCAGCCAAUCAGCAGCAUAAAGCAUCCUCUCAGGAAGGCAGGGGAGAAAGGCUCUGAAUUCUGCACUUUACUGUUCUUGGCUCUGCUUCUCCUGCAUCAUCUUGUUUAAUUCUGACAGUAGAUUUAGGAGAUAGGACUGAUUAUCAUCAUUAGAUAGAUGGGAAAACUGAGAUUUAUACUAAGAUCUGCCUGAUCCUAAAGUUGAUGCUCAUGAAUACUACACUACUAUAUAUCAAUGCUUCUCAGAUUUUGGCAUGAAUUAAGCCACCUGGGGAUAUUAGUUAACUAUAAGGAUCCUAAGGCUAUACCCCAAGAGAUUGUAACUUAGUAAUUUUGCAAUGAAGGUCAGGAAUCUGCUUGUUUAACAAGCACUCAGGUGAAUCUAAUGCAGCAAGAAUACUGCUCCACCUGGAGACUCAAGGCUCAGAUGUCAAGCUGAAGGCUCCAUUAUCUCUGCAGAUCACGUGGCCUCGUCCUCCCCGGGUGAACCUUCCAACUCCUCCCCAAGUGGCCCCAGGCAGCUCCCCUCUUCCAUGAACCUGUCCUGGGGUAGCCAGCCCCCUCUCACUAUCAGGGAGCAGCUCCAAGCCUCGCCAGCUGCUUGGGACCCUGCUGCCAGUGUGCUCUAUGUUGUGCACCCUUGGUUAACGGGGACAUUAUUUUACCCCAAAGCACAAAUUUCUUGUGGCUGGACAGCUCAGCUAGGUGCCCUCUCUUCCUGAUUUGCUCCCAUCCACUCCUCUCCCACCUGUCCUAUGGCUGUUAUUUCCACUUGGAAGGGAGGAGGGACAUGGCAAGGGGGCCCCAGCCAUACACUCCACAGACAAAUUUCCAAGACUCUUGCGGUUGUCUUUGCAGCUCACGAAACAUUCCAGUGGUUGGAAUUUGCUCACAGAAGCCACUCCACUAACAAAAGUGGGGCUCUCAUUUCUGCCAUUCAGAGUUCAGGACACACAAAGGGAGAAAGAAAACAAUAACAAUGGAAACCGUGUUUAACCCCAGCAGCUGCCCUGCCUCAACUCCAGCAACGACAACAAAAACAAUAAGAACAACAAGAAAUCUUCUCCCUAACCCGGGCCCUAAUGUGGUUAAGGCUAAGCUAACCAUUAUAGCCACAGUCACUGGGCCAGAAACCACACUGCUGAACGAAAAUAUGUGCAGAGGAAAUACCUCUGUGACCACUGAAUGAAGUCUGAAGAGACAAGGAGCCGAUUGACACUUUGUUCUUUUUGCAUUCGGGGGCAGUCUUGCUGGAUGAAGAAAAUUCCACAGUUACCACCUUUGGUUGAUCGGCCCUCCCCUCUGAGAUGAAUUUGGUACCAGGCAGGAGGCUCGCAGGGCUGGUCCCCUCGUGCUGUGAGGAAGCAGACUCUAUCUUGCGAUGUUUUCCUGCUCUGGGGUACCACACAAGGCCCUCGGCUCCUUGCAAAGCAGACACUGCCGCCAAAGUUUCUUCCCAUGUUUACUGAGGUAAAUGCAGGGGUAACUAUGGAUUGAACAUUCCUUGUCCUGUUUGACAGGAAAAGUGGGUGUUUGAUCUUGUUUUGUGCUCCAGGAAUUUCUUCAGAAAUCUCUUGGAAAAUCUCAUAAAGCUAGGUUAGUGACCACAUAUGGAAUCCAUUAACUCCUCAUUUCUGCUUGUUCUUAGCAAAUUUUUGUCUGGUGACAACACAUGAACUUAGGGGGUGUUUUUGUUUUGCUUCACACCACGGGACUCUGACUUGCUUUAGUUUUGAGGAAAAUUGGGGAAAAAAAGCAAGCUGUGGUUGGGGUGAAAUAGCUAAUUGCAAGUAAAACUGGGUGGGAUGUUUGGUUUGUGAGAAAGCAGGACACUCUUCAGAUUUCAGGGGGAUUCCAGAGUUGCCAGUGUUCUGGGAAGAAUAUUCCUUCAAUUUCCUGAUGAAAUUGAAUAAGAAAUCUGGAUUCUCUUGCUCUCUCCAUCCACACCUCAUGGUAUAAUGCUGGUUGAAUGGAUUGCUUGCCCUUACUUUCUAAAUUUUUGUUUUCUAAAUAUAGGAGAAAACAGCAAUGUGCCUUUGCAAGACAGCUACAUAUCUCCAGCUUAAAAGGCGUUACAUAAUUAUAUCACACCAGUAUUUAGAACUAAAGUUACUGGUGUAUGACUGGAAAAAAAAAAAAAGACCGAAGAUUGGAAAAUGUUAAAGAAGGAAGACAGGCUGAGAACUUUAUUUAGAAGAUAAUUAUCUUUUAUUUUUUCUGUUUAAAGUAAUUAAUAAACUAAACAUAACAAUAAGCCCUUUCAGCCACAGUCAGCAUCAGGGGACUUCAAACAUUGCCUUUGAAGUGGGCCCCCAGUUGGGAAGACCCCACUGUUCAGGCUACUUUAUAGUGGUAAUAUACUGCCUGGAAAAAACAGAUGCCAAGAAAAUGCACAGAUUGAAUCUCGGAGCAUCUGAAAACCUAAAACUUCAGGGGGCCAAGGAAGGUCCUAGUCUUUUGAUUUUUUUUUUUUUUUAAAAAGGCCCAAAGUAUUAAAUUGAAACAGGCACUUCAUUUCUUUCCUUCAUUUCUCCCUUCACCUCAGGAGACCUAUGUUAAAUUCCACUUAGAUCACAGCUAGACGUGGGUUUGAUGGUCUCAAGCCACCUUUUAACUGUACGUUCAUCCCAUAAAUAGAAGAUGAAUAAAGACGUCAAACUUCAUCCAUAUAGCAUUCUGACAUACGUGGCUCCCUGUCAAAGAGGAGCCAGGAUGAAGGUGGAUUGCAAUGGCUUCUAGAGAGCAGAGAACUUCAGCAUAACGUGGUGAAUUUACACAUGUAAACAAGAAUGUGUGGGCUAGGAGCCCAUAGCAGGUGGGGCUGCAGCUGCCAACACUGUCCUAAACGGACAUUUGUGGAAGGACAGAGAUUGUGCUGAUACAGUAUGUGUUCGGUGUGGGCCACUCUCCCAAAGCUAUCCUUGUCAAACUUUGUGCUUAAAUGGCUCUCUUCCGGGCAAGCAAACUAAAACCUAUGCUCAAAGCAAGGUGUCCUGAGACCAGAUUCAGUUCUUUAUCGUCUCAGUAAAAAAAAAAAAAAAAAGAUUGUGAUAUGGGGAUUAUACUACUAAGAUUUAUUCAUCUCUCUGUGUCCUAAAUAG